UUUUUGAUUUGUAGUAUGUCUUGUUUGAAAAAACAUUUUAAGGUUUUAUAACUGAGACCAUGGGUACUGUUGGAUCAUUUGGAAUCCCCUUAAAUUACAUGCAGAAUUUCAUGUUCAUAUUCUUUUACAUGCAAAUUUGCUAUAGAUAGGUUCAUACUCCAUCCAAUGUCCAGGCAAAUUUGAGACCCAAAUGAGUUUUGAAAACAGUGCUAAUUUAGGGUAGAUAUUUCCAGUAUUUAGGGGUCAUGUACCCUAACAGUUUAAAAAAUUGAGCGCAAACUUGUAUAUUUAUUUCUAAUCUCUAAUUGUGUUAUCAUUGUACUAACCUUUUAGAUAGGUUUUAAAAAGCAUUCUGAAAAAAAUAAAAUAAAAUAAAAAAUAAAAAGCAUUCUGUAAGGAUAAUACCCAAAACUGUAUUCCAGUGGAAAAUCUGGGAUUAAUAGUCUUUGGAGAACAUUGGUCCAAGGGAUUACUAGGGUAGUUAAGAAUCUUUUUUCUGAUUGAACACAGCAGACAUAUUUGCCUGUCCUGGUACAAGUAGAAUAAAGUACUAUAGAAUAGAAAUCAGGAUCCUCUGUAGAAUUUUGGAUUACAAGAUAUCAAGCACUGGUGUGCUGAGGCAUCACCAGUGCAGACAAGAGGGCCUAUCUAUGGAAAUGAAAAGGAAGGAUUUAGCAAAAUAGGCUCUUAAUAUUUUAAAAUUAUUAGCAGACUUGGAGACUCAAGGUUUAGGAUGUAGUAGUGUUUAAUGCCAGAACAUAAAAUUGAAUAGUCCGCUCAUCUCCAAGAAUUAUGAAUUCAAAGGAAAAUUUUCACUGAAUGAAAACUGAUGACUGUUAAGAACUUUAUAUAGAUUUAACACUUCUGUCACUUUAUUAAUUACUGAAAUUGGCUAAAUUUGAUUUUAUUGUAUUCCUAGGAAGGUGAAAGAAAACAUGGAUGAAGCUUCCUGAAUUCGGCUUCUGGCAUGAGUCAAGCUCAGAGAUAGGAAAUGCUGGUGUCAGUAUUCCCUUUCAGGUCAGGACCAGGAGCUUCAGCCUCACCGGGUUCUUGAGUGCAAUCUCAACACACAGCUCACCAAAUGAAUUUGCCCAUUUUAACAAGAUCCCAGGGGAUUUGAGUGCACGCAGACAUACUUGGAAACUUUGAGCAAUUCCACCCUUUUAAGGUCAUUUUGUUGGAGAAAUGCUUAUAAAGACAGAGGAGAAACAAGCCAGAAAACAAACCUUAUUUCAUUUGUGAAUUUAUUACUCCAUAUAAACAACUAUGGAUAUAUGAGUAUCCUAACAUUUGA
rnacentral:lncRNA from 1 species